CCAAUGGCGGCAGUCUACACAUGCAAGUCGAGCGGUAGCACAGAGAGCUUGCUCUCGGGUGACGAGCGGCGGACGGGUGAGUAAUGUCUGGGAAACUGCCUGAUGGAGGGGGAUAACUACUGGAAACGGUAGCUAAUACCGCAUAACGUCGCAAGACCAAAGUGGGGGACCUUCGGGCCUCAUGCCAUCAGAUGUGCCCAGAUGGGAUUAGCUAGUAGGUGGGGUAACGGCUCACCUAGGCGACGAUCCCUAGCUGGUCUGAGAGGAUGACCAGCCACACUGGAACUGAGACACGGUCCAGACUCCUACGGGAGGCAGCAGUGGGGAAUAUUGCACAAUGGGCGCAAGCCUGAUGCAGCCAUGCCGCGUGUGUGAAGAAGGCCUUCGGGUUGUAAAGCACUUUCAGCGGGGAGGAAGGCGGUGAGGUUAAUAACCUCAUCGAUUGACGUUACCCGCAGAAGAAGCACCGGCUAACUCCGUGCCAGCAGCCGCGGUAAUACGGAGGGUGCAAGCGUUAAUCGGAAUUACUGGGCGUAAAGCGCACGCAGGCGGUCUGUCAAGUCGGAUGUGAAAUCCCCGGGCUCAACCUGGGAACUGCAUUCGAAACUGGCAGGCUAGAGUCUUGUAGAGGGGGGUAGAAUUCCAGGUGUAGCGGUGAAAUGCGUAGAGAUCUGGAGGAAUACCGGUGGCGAAGGCGGCCCCCUGGACAAAGACUGACGCUCAGGUGCGAAAGCGUGGGGAGCAAACAGGAUUAGAUACCCUGGUAGUCCACGCUGUAAACGAUGUCGAUUUGGAGGUUGUGCCCUUGAGGCGUGGCUUCCGGAGCUAACGCGUUAAAUCGACCGCCUGGGGAGUACGGCCGCAAGGUUAAAACUCAAAUGAAUUGACGGGGGCCCGCACAAGCGGUGGAGCAUGUGGUUUAAUUCGAUGCAACGCGAAGAACCUUACCUGGUCUUGACAUCCACAGAACUUUCCAGAGAUGGAUUGGUGCCUUCGGGAACUGUGAGACAGGUGCUGCAUGGCUGUCGUCAGCUCGUGUUGUGAAAUGUUGGGUUAAGUCCCGCAACGAGCGCAACCCUUAUCCUUUGUUGCCAGCGGUUCAGGGCCGGG
rnacentral:rRNA from 1 species